GUCGCUCUAGGAACGUGGCGGAGCGACCCUCUAUGGUCCCGGGCCGGCGGAGCGGAGGAACUCCGUUUCUACUUCCCGCCCCUCAGAAGCCGUCCUGUGAGCCCCCAGGACCUCAAGACCGGUGGCCACCACCCUUUGUAAUGGAGGAGCGGCCUACAGAGCCAGCAAACCUCGGCUGGUGUCAACCACGGCUUUUGAAAAGAUACACCAGCCCUCCCACCCUGAAGCACCCUUUGCCACUAAUAUAAGAAAAUGGAAGCAAGUAAUUUGUCUAAGGUCACAUAUUCCUAAGUGCUGGAAGCCAGACAGUCGGGCUCCAGAGCCUAUACUUUUAACCUCUACAUAGAAGCAUCUCACAAAUGGAAUUCCAGGAAAGGAAACUCUGGGAAUUCCCACUCCAGGUUUGCAGAAAACAUCUCUGCUCCAGGAGGGAGCAGAGUUUACCCAUCACACAACCUGGUCUGGGGAGACAGUCCUACUUUAGGAGAUGCUGGUCAGUGAAGGAGCAUAUGAGAAAUACAGUGACUAUGGAGAAAGAAAGAGAAGUUCCCAAACAAACAAGCAGGAAACCAAAGACCCUGGCGGAGAAAGUCAGAAAUGGUGGAGGUUACAGUGAACUGACUAAUUUGCCUCUAAAGCAAAUCAAUAUUAAUAAAAAAUUUUGAAUUCCUCAAAUGAUUUU